rnacentral:lncRNA from 1 species
GGGGGCGGGGAGUGGGGCCGGGCGCGCGCCGGGGCGCCCCACCCCGCCUCCGCCCCCGCCCCACGCGCCGGCGGCGCGGACCUCCUUGUCAAUGGGAGCGCGGGGCCGGGCUGCCCGCAGGACGGUCAGGUGGGCCCCCCAGCUCGCUGCCAGCGCGGCCUCUGUCCCUCUCGGGCCGGCUCUCCAUCUUGUCGCCCGUAGCCCGCCUUCUCCGUGGCUCUCCAGCCGCUGGGGCCGCAGAGCCGAGGCCGGGUUACCUCAGGAAACGCGAUGUGGUAGUGGGUCGGAAUAAACCCGCGCGCCCCAGAAUUCGCCUUGGGGGCGUAAGGACAGAUUCGGACUUUUCGUUUCCUAUGUCCACAUUUAUUGAGCACCUAAUAUGUGACACCCGAGGCUGUAAGAAGAGGAACGCAGCGGGCGGAGAAAAGCCAGAGCUUUUUCUCUGUGAGCCGCUGCCUCCAGGGCCAUAGCCGACCCUGCUCCGAGAUCCCAGCCGCCGCUCUCCGUGCAGGAGGGGUGCCCACCCUGGGGAGGCCAGGGUGCCCGGAGUGGAGGGACAGGGCUUCAAGCGACCGGGAGUUUCCAGCAAACCCCUGAUCCCUGAGCAGUUUAUUUUAAAAGCUUUUGCAAAUGUUGGACGGUUUCGUUUGGUGGAGGCCGUCUUUGCACUAAAUUCUCCUGUCCUCCCCCUUCGAAACGCACAAAAUGAAUUUUGAACAGAUUUUGGAUGAGAGGUUUUCUUCCUUUUUUCAUCUUCUGAAACAUUUCCCCCUCAUUUCUUCUCAGAUAAAGACCCAGAAACCCGGGACAGUUACUCGGUGUACAGCUAGUCAAAUACUGAGGAAACCAGUCGAUAUUUGCCAAAGAUUGGGCAUGUUCUGGGUGGUCUCAGAUUUUGAAGAAACGACUUUUUUACUGCACAAAAUAGUUUUACAAUCAGUUCCAUCAGACAGCCCCAGGGGCUCUCCUAGGGAAAGGGGCCAAUAGGCAAGGUUGCAUGGGGAUAAGAGAGGCAAGCGGCCAGUGGAAAACGGUUUUUUGUUUUUUUUUUCCUAACAGUUGGGCAUUUCUGUAGCUCUGAAAGCAAACUUGUUUGUUUCAUUUCAACGAUAGAAAAAAAACACUCCUGUUUUGGAAAUGUAACCCAGCAUAAAAAUACAUUUGCAAUGGGGAAAAAGAAAGCAGUUUAGGGCCACCCAGAAGAAAAUAUUUUUUCCCUGAUUUUUUUUUAAUUUGGUAUUUCCCAGUGUGGGUUUGCCUCAUUUUACAAAUAGCUGCCCAUGUCAAGAUGUGGGUAUGUGAUUUAAAUAUUUUAAUUUGAAUCACAUUUUACAUAGUCUAGGAAACUGACAAAAGAAUCCUAUAGAGAAUUGUUUUAUAAAGUGAAUAACUGCUUCUCUACCUACCCGCCCCUCUCAUUCUUCUUUUCUGUGCGUGUUUUUGGGGGGCUGUUAUGGGAUAAAUCUUGUUUGGCUUAAAAAUCACUAAAACGCAGCCUUUCAAAUCCAAAACAGAGAGCUUAGGUACCCAACAUUCUAUAGAAUGUAUUAUUUCCUCAAGAGGUUGCUAGGAACAGUUAUGUAGAUCUACCAGGUGCAGGGAAGCACUCCACACCCUCACCCAGGUCCUGUAUCCCUGCAAGACUGCGUUGGAAAGACUGAAGAGGAUAAAGACUCAAAUCCUCAGCAGGGCCUCUAAGGCCCCUCAUGAUCUGGCCCCUGGAGACCUUACCAGUGCCCCCAGCCCUGUCCCGAGUGGCACCAGUCUGCUCACAGGCCCCCAGCCCAGGUUUCAGCUCAAAUAUCACUUCUUCAGGGAAACCUCCCUGGAUCCCCCUGACUGCUUCAGCCCUUCUGCCUAGUACAUCUCAGAGCACAUUUCCUUAUCAAAUAUCAUGAGAUAAGGUCUUUCUCUGCCACUCAAGCUGGAGUACAGUGGCAUGAUCAUAGCUCACUGCAGCAUCAACCUCCUGGGCUCAAGCCAUCUUCCAACCUCACAGCCACCUGGGUAGCUGGGACUAUGGGUACCCACCCCAUACCCGGGCCCCUGAGCUCCACCGGCAGAACCAGCUGUCCUAAUCUGCAGCCCUUUACCUGGACCUCACCCAUUCUCAGAUGACAUGGCCUUGAGUGUCUCUGCACCUCCCUUCCUGAACCCCUUGCAUCUUCCUGGUUACUCCUCCUUUGCCUGUCCUGUUCCCUCAGGGCCUCGCUUCCAGCUACUAACAGAGCUGACAAGCCAUAGCAGGACGGCUAUCCCCUGAGAGAUAGGAGAGGAGGAGAAACAGCCUGACAGGGGCCUGGAGCAGCUGGCUGGCGUCAGUAAUUUCCUGCAGGAGACUCUGCUGGCCGAGCACACAUCACCCUUCUGUUGCUCCUCUGUAUUCUCCCUUGUGCUACUAAAAUACGCUAAUGUAACUCCUGGGCUGUGCUAAGCUAAAUGCAGUUAUUUAACCUCAUUUCUAUGGAACCCAGGUCUAAAGCAGCAACAUCUAUUUGGAACAAGAUGGGGAGGAGCAAGAGUGAAUUCAUGCUCUUCUUCAUGGAGGUGGAUGUUUCUGGAAGGAGGUUUGUGAUGUCCUUUGCAGGGACAUGGAUGGAGUUGGAAGCCCUUAUCCUCAGCAAACUAAUGCAGGAACAGAAAACCAAACACUGCAUGUUCUUACUUAUAAGUGGGAACUGAAUGAUGAGAACACAUGGACACAUAAGGGGAAAUGACACACACUGGGGCCUGUCAGAGCUGAGGGGUUGUGGGGAGAGGGAGAGAAUCAGGAAUAAUGGCUAAUGUAUGCUGUGCUUAAUAUCUAGGUGAUGGGAUGAUCUGUGCAGCAAACCACCAUGGCACACGUUUACCUAUGUAACAAACCUGGACAUCCUGCACAUGUAUCCUGGAACUUAAAAUAAAAGUUGAAGAAAAAAAAAAAAGAAAAAGUUUUGUGAAGUCUGGAGGUGUAAUGGACAGACACAGGCUUAGGGUGAGGCAGGCCCAUGUUCAGAUCCUUGCUUCCUCACUAAGCUAGCAGGGAGACUGGCUAUAUCACCGAGCCUCAGUUUCCUCACCUGUACAUCUGCUGUAGAAGUGGCAUAUCAUAUGCUGUCCUGGCUGUGACCUUUGGUAGCUCAUCACUGCCCUUCUUACUGUUCUCAGGGUAAACCCCUUUCCAGGCAGAGUUGCCAAGACACCCAGUAAAAUUUGAAUUUCAGAUAAACACUGAAUAAUUUUUUAGUAUAAUGAUGCUCCAAAUAUUGCAUGGGAUAUACUUAACACUAAAAAAAAAAUCAUUGUUUGUCUGAAAUUCAGAUUUAACUGGGCAACCUGCAUUUUUAAAUAAACUUUUAAUUUUAGAAUCAUUUUAGAUUUACAGAAAAAAAUAUAAAGAUCGUACAGAGUUACCACACACCCUGCACCCAGUUUCCCCUAUAACUAAUAUCUUACGUCGAGCCAGUGCAGUGGCGCACAUUUGUAAUCCUAGCUGCUCAGGAGGCUGAGGUGGGAGUAUUGUUUGAGCCCAGGAGCUCGAGGCUGCAGUGAGCCAUGAUUGCACCAUUGCACUCCAGCCUGAGUGACGGAGUAAGAUGCCAUCUUUUAAAAAAAAAUCUUAUGCCAGUAUGAUACAUUUGUCACAAUUAAUGAACUAAGAUUGAUAUAUUAUCAUUAACUAAAGUCUAUACUUCAUUAGAUUUCCUUAGUUUUUCCCCAGUGUCCUUUUCUAUUCCAGGAUCCUGUCCAGGACACCAUAUCAUAUUUAGUUGUCAAGUCUUCCUAGUUCCUCUUGGCUGUGACAGUUUUUUAGACUUCCCUUGUUUUUGAUGACCUUGACCGUUUUGAGGAGCACUGGUCUGGGGUUUUGUAGAAUGCCCCUCAAUUCAGCCUGUCAGAUGUUUUUCUCAUGAUUAGGCUGGGGUAUUAUUUUUUUGGGAGGAAGACCACAGAGGUCAAGAGCCAUUCUCUUCACAUCUCGUUAAGGGUCUGUACUGUCCAUAUGACUUACCACUGUUGAUGUUGACCUUGAUCACCUGGCUAAGGUAGUGUUCAUCAGGUUUAGCAACUGUAUUUUCAUUUGCUAAAUCUGUAACUCGAUUCCAGGCCUGUCAGUCUUUCAUGACCAGACCUUUGCUUACUGCUGCUGCCAUUUUUCUGCUCCAACCAUAGUGAACUGCUAACAAUUCCUCUAAUGAACUAUUCUCUGUCUCUCUUACUGCCAGGCCUUAGGGCUUGCUCUUUCCUUUGCCUGGAAUGUUCCACUCCCCCACAGCCUCCCAUCCACACCUCCCCUUCACCCGAUUAACUUACUUUUCAGUUGGGCUUCAGUGUUCCGCUUAGGUCUCACUCCUUCCGGGAAGAUUUCUUGCACCCUCCUCUGCCAAGACCAGGUUAGGUGUUGCUUCUCUGCCCUGGUCCUACUGUGUUGUGAUAUUUACCAUCCUGUGGUUGUGAACUGUUUGCUUGUCUCCCUGACCCCAGUGCAUCCCUGACAUCUUACACAGUGCCUUGUUGCAACUCAAUAAAUAAUUGCUGAAUAAAUGAAUGGUUACACCAGGCACUUCAGGUAAAGCCUUUAACACACUACCUGCCUUGUAAACAGUAGAUGCUCAGUAAAUGCUUGUCUUUUUCAAUGUAGGAAAAAUAAUCUUCCCUAGAUCUGAGCAACUGUAAUAAGUUUGUGCUCGCCCGACACCCGCAACACAUGUCCCUACCUGGAGAAGAGAUUCUGGAACAGUGGUCUCCUAGGAUUCCCUGAGAGCCACAGUUACCUGUAUCAAAGUAUCAAGGAGGCCACUUAAUGACAGAGAUAUUAGGGUAAGUAGGCUACUUUCCGUCAGUUUGCAGAUUAAAAAGGCAUCUUUCUCCCAGUGGAGAAACUGAAUUAUGAACCCCUUCGCCCAGAUUUCCAUAGUUGGACGCGCUGACCCAUUAUUUUUAGUGAAAGGGACAAAGGGACCCACCUCCUUCUCUUUUUGCUGCCCAUGUGCCACACACAUGUAAAUGACAUGUGUACCUAUUGUUGCUUGUCCUUGAUGAUGAGUACACUUGUACAUUGAUAUAUUUAUUAGUGUUUUGCUUUUCACUAAUCCAGCAUAGUUGUGACCCCACCCCUGAGACCUAAAGGAAGGAGACACCUCAUAGGGGGUCUCAGGAAUCUCUGAUGAACCUUAGGACUAAUUAUAAUUCUUUCAUUUAUUAUAACUUCAUGCCAGGUAUUUUAUCUGCCUCACCUCUAAUCCUCUCAAUAACCUUGCAUGUUUUUAUUCAUCCCGUAUUACAAAUGAGAAAGCUAAGGUUUGGGUGCUUAAGAAAUUUUCCCCAAGUUUUUUUUGUGGUGGAGCCAGCUUGGAGCUAGGGCAAUAGACUUCAGAGUCUCAGCUCCAUCCUCUCCAUGGUUCAGAAAGUUCUCUAGUUCUGUAAGAGACAGCCAACAUCCCCCAAGGGCUUGUGCUCAUUGGAAUGGCUCUCGGGUCCACUCCUCCCUUUGUAUCCCCAGGUCACCUCACUAGAGCAGACCUCCAUCAGUCAGUGUUUACCCACCUUCCAGAGCCUCCUUCCUGGACUCUUGCCCCCGGAUUCCCCACCCAUAGCACUCUCACACUGCCAUCGCCCAACUCAGGAUCCCAAGAAUGCCCAUUUUCAGCCUUAUAAAUCCUUUGCCUUGCUUCCAAGACCCUAUGGUCUAUUUCUUUUCCAAGCCUUCUCUCCGUGCAUCAGAUUCUUCAUGAAACUUACACUGACUAGUCCCCCACCCAUCUCCCUUUCCUUGGAUCUUCAUGGCACCUAGGUAUGCAAGGCAUAAAGUAGUGUAGAAUGCCCUUCUGGCUUGUGUGGAACCACAGGGGAGUCCCCUGGGUUUCUAAUAUGGUUUUCCCAUCUGGAUUGACACCCCCGAAGGACAAAAACCUCUUGUUAAAAAAGUCAACUUUAUUGAGGUAUAACAUACAUACACCCUGUUUUAAGUGUUGAGUUUGAUAAGGUUUGACAAAUGUAUACACCCAGGUAACCACCGUCACAACCAAGAUAUAGAACAUUUCUAUCACCCCAGAAAUACCUCUGAGCCCCUUUGUAGUCAAUUCCUCCACCCCCGACCCAGGAAGCCACUUGUUGGAUUUCUAUUAAUAUAGAUUAGUUUUGCCUGCCGUUGAACUCCACAAAAAUGCAGUCACAAAGGGUGUAGUCUUUUGUGUCAGCCUAUUUUGGUUAGCACGAUAUUUUAAAGAUUCCUCCAUACUGUUUAUUACUUUCUUCUUGCUGAGUAGUAUUCUAUGGUAGAGACUAUACUACAACUUGAUUGUCCAUGUUGACUAAAUUUGAGGCUGUUUCACAUUUUUGGCUAUUGUGAAUAAAGUAGCUAUGAAUGUUUACACACAAGCCUUUUGUGAAUGUGUUUUCAUUUCUU